UACGAAGGGGGCUAGCGUUGUUCGGAUUUACUGGGCAUAAAGCGCACGUAGGCGGGUUGUUAAGUCAGGGGUGAAAUCCUGGAGCUCAACUCCAGAACUGCCUUUGAUACUGGCAACCUAGAGGCUGGAAGAGGUUAGUGGAAUUCCCAGUGUAGAGGUGAAAUUCGUAGAUAUUGGGAAGAACACCAGUGGCGAAGGCGGCUAACUGGUCCAGAUCUGACGCUGAGGUGCGAAAGCGUGGGGAGCAAACAGG
rnacentral:rRNA from 1 species